rnacentral:tRNA from 1 species
GCCGGUUUAGCUCAGUUGGUAGAGCAGCGCACUUGUAAUGCGAAGGUCAAGGGUUCGACUCCUUUAAUCGGCACCA